CCAUACACGAACUCUCUCUCCUGAUUCUUCCCUUUUCUCCUUCUACUUUGUUCCCGAUUUCAUUCACUUGCUCAAAUUCCACUGUGCUUGGCUUUUGAAAUACCGUGCAAAUUCUACUGAGUUCAGUUUCUUCAUCUAAUCUGAAUUUAGUUCCUGCAAGUCUCUUGUUUCUAAUCUUCUAUAACAUUACUUGUUUUCGAUUAAUCUAUUUCCAAAUAGAAGGGAGUCUGAUUCGCAUUCAAAUUCCAUUUUUAGGUGGCUGGAUCGUUAUGGUGGAUAGGGUACUUAUGUGCGGUUGUUUUGUUUGAUUUCUCUUGCUGGUUUGGCAGUUGAUUCGUAGGAAAUUGAGGUAGGGAAAGCAACAUUUCUUUAUAGCUUUGAUUCUAUCUUGGUGUGUGUUUGGAAAGAAUGGUUGUUCUACUUUCGUUAUUGUUCUGUGUAAUCUUCUUGUCUGUUGAACUGUAUUGAUUGUUCAAGCUUGAGUUUGAUUAAAGCUUGACUGAAAAAGAUGUUCUACUAUGAGUGUUGUGCCUCGUUUAAAAAUCUGGGUAUUUAUUGGUUCAUCAGUAAGUUGUCAAGCUUGAGGGGAAUUCAUUAUUGUUCGAGCUGAUUUGUCUUGGCUCUUCAGUUUUGAUUUUGGAACCGUCCUUCUUUUAUAUAUAUACAAGAUGAUAGUGAUCCUAGUAUCUUUUCAGUUAGAUGAAUCACGACCAGUGAACUAUCAAUUGAAGUUGAUACAAUCUAUAUUCAAUUGGUAAUUGUAAACUAGUUUCUUGACCUCUCUCUUGUCAACAUCCUUAUAACCGUGUAUCCAUCUUUCCUUUCUCUUGUACAAGAAUUUGUCUUGUAUCAAGUUCUUUCCAAUAUUGUAAUUUGUUCAAGAGAAAGUUAAACUCUUUUCCCUUAUAAUCAGUUUUGAAUAUCCUGAGCCCUGAGGCCAUCUUUUAUUUGAUACCUAGAGUUUGAUCCUUCACUAUCCUUGUCGCAUUUUCUCUAGUGUUAAAGGAUCCCCAUUCUUGAUUUUAGUUCUCAAAGUAAAUCAAGUAUUCUUGAUGACCAGCCUUACUGAACAACAAAUAAACUCUUCCCUCAAUGAAAUCAUUAUCUCUAAUUUGAUUACUACAAAGACUUUGCCCAUUUUCUUGUUAUUCUUUCUAAGUACCAACUUCUAUUCACAACAAAGCUUCCUCGAGUACAAUGUUGCUAUUGUUUUAUCUCUGCUAUGCUCUGUGUUAUUAUAAGCCAAAAGCCAAGUUUAUUAUAUUAUUCUUUUUAACGCAUCUGUAUUUGAAACUCAUUCGGCAUUGUUUGAAAUUCCAAGCUCAUGUAUCUCUAUUGAUAUAAUUUACAAGUUUUCUAAGUUUCUAAUGCUCUACUUCCUCAGCAAGUUGCUCAACUUUAAGUACUCUUUCUUGACAUACUUCACUCUAUUAUUAAAGGGCAUUUCAGUUCCUUUGGAAAUCCUUGAAGGAUUGAUUUGAUUUGGAAAAGCAAGUGUUUCAUGAAAAAUCAGAUUUGGUUUUAUUUGUUUUAUUCGGUUAGGCCCGGUGAAUUGUGUGAGUAGGGAUUGUGUCUCCCUUGGGUUAUUUAACCCUAAACCUGAUCAGGGUACCGCAUGUGCGGGGUUUGCUCGGUGGUAUAGCUGGGCGGUGGGCUCUAACCGGUAUUUUAAGGAUUUGCUAACAUUUGAGUUAAUGAAUUGUUAUUGGCAAAUACUGCAGAUGUGUUGCAGUGAGUGAAAGGAGUGAUUUCUGGUUUUGUUAUAAAAUCUAAAGCUGAAAUUAUUUAUGGUCUUGUUCUGAUUUCAUUCGUUUUACCAGGACUGCUCCCUUUCCAGUUUAUUGAGAUGUUUAUUACCAGUUUGAUAUAUUCCGGCCCUCGGUUCUUUUAUGUUUAUACUUCCUGUUCAGCUAAAAUGAUUUGAUCCUACUCUGAGUCUACUAUUGUAAAAGUAUGAGCUGUUGUUUUCAUUGUUUUCAUCUGCUGAAAAUUAAUUUGGUUAACUCAGUAAAUUCUACUUCACUUCCAUCACUUUUCUGAUGCAUACUGAUUUAGAAUCCUUGCUAUGAUGACUGUUCGCUGUACCUACUGAGCUUAAAGCUCAUUCCUUGUAUUUUUGUUGUGGUUUUCAGGAAAAGAGUCCAUGAACGGACAAAUUAGUGAUAUUCCGGAACUAUCUUGAGUUGAUUAUGUGUGGAGCUUAGUUUUGCUUUUUUGGAGAAUUUGAUGGACAUUAUUUUGCUUGUUAGAUGUGUAUAUGCUGUUGAAAAGUGUUCAUCAUUUCAGAGCUCCUAUCUGGUUGUUUUAGUAGCCCUGUAUUGUACAUAAAAUGUGCACAACUGAUGUACUAACCUGGGUGUAUCUAGUAUCAUAUGUGGUGGAAACUUUGUAAUCAAUUUGCCCCUUGUGAAUUAUGAUAUGAAACUAUGUUAAUUCCUUUGCCCUUCAAUGUCUAAUUAAAGACCUUUCUAUUUGAACAAUGAUCAUAGUCACACGAAUGUGUCAAGUGUAUAUGAAUACUAUCUUUAGCUUGGUUCCUCUUAUUAUGCAGACUACAAACUUCUCUUAUAUAAGAACUUGUCGACUUAUUCAUGCUUUUACACUUAAGGCUCAUAUCUAUUGUAGGAACUCUUGUAGUCGGAUUAUCUAUCACUCUUGGAUUAGUUUCUUUGAGAAGUUAAACACUCAAUUUCCAGAAUCCCAGAGUAGUUCUGUUUCAUUCUUGCUCAAUAUUCCAUUAAAAAAAAAAACACCUUGGACUGAUUCCUAAUUUAUCUUUCCACCACAUUAUCUAGUCAUAACUCGGGUUGGGUUGUGACACCAUUAAAUUUGACCUUUUCUUUUUGUUCUGUUAUAUCUCCAUAUUGGUUGCUUUGACUGGAAUUUUCACUUGUCCCUCUUCUCUUUUGAGUGGUCAUCAGACUUGAUUUAGUAUUACAACUUUGAUCAAUUGGUGAAACUGUUUAUUGGUGAUAUGUAUUUGAUAGAUGAUCAUAUUGAGUCGGUGUUUGGAUAGCUUGAUCUGUUAUAAACUGAUUAUGAAUGGCCGAGUGUUCUUCAAGUGUUCUUCUCUGCAACGUUUGUUUUUUUUUUUUUAAUUUUUUUUACAUAUAUGCUGGCUGUUCUUCUUCUUCAUGCUUGG
rnacentral:lncRNA from 1 species